AACACCUUUCAUUUUAGAAUACGCACACGUUUUUUCAACGACAGGCGCUGAAGUCAAUGUUAAAGGGCAACUGAAGAGCUUUUCAGAUUUCGCUCUUAAGUGUUUUACUCAGUUGAAUUGUAUUAAAUGCGUCAUUCGCUCUCUCAAAAAGUCACAUAAAAAAAAAAUAAUAAUAAUAAUUGGCCGCUUAGUUUUUGAGUUAUGGCCAUAGCAACGAGGGACGCGCCGUCCUGCCGACCCCUACCUCAUGACGUAACUUCCAGGAAGCCUCGCCACCACUCUGAACGCGGAAAUAUAGCACCACGUUAUCCUCGCCAUAUAUUGCAUACAUUUUCUGGGUUUUACUCGGCGGGAUUCGUCAUGCCAUCUCGAUGUGUAGCGAUGAAUUACUCACAGGAAGAUUCGAGACUCUCGGAGUGGUCCCAAAAAAACUUCUCCUGCAAAGCCACGACAGCUUUGAAAACCUACAACAACGCAGCCUUGGUUUUGCAAAGACGAAGCCAAACAUAAAAAAAUAACACGAUGAAAAAAGCGUUGCAAGUCAGUUGCCACCCAGUUUCCCAAAAUCAAGAGAGAGUGGGUCGAGUCAUAUGAUGACCCAAGUGAUGCGGUGUCCAGCGAUGACGACUGAAGAGAUCCUAUGAGGCCUGCCAGAUGCUGAAUUUCUUCCGUCUGUGACAUCAGAUGACGAUGAUUUAGGAGAAAUAAAUGUAGCAAAUUUUGAUGACGUGAAAUCAUAAACUAGUCAUAUAUACAGUACACAUUUUUUAAAAUCAAGUUACCUUCAUAUUUUAAUGAUAAUGCAUUAUCUUUGUAUAGAGAACACUUCAUGCUACAGAAAAGAGUAAAUACAUAUACAUAAAUCUGGUAUUUAUUAUUGUGGCCUAUUAAAUAUUUUUUCAGAAUGUAAUAUAAUUACAAUAUAUUAUAUACCAAUAGAAUACAUUAAACAGUCAACAAAAUGUGUCAGUGUUGUUAACAAUUUAUGGUUUUAUUUUUUUAAUGUAAUUCAUGCCCCUGUCAGUGCAUCAGCCUCCUCAAGUUUGGCUCUCACGUCUGGGAUGUCCUGAUGACACAGGCAUACUCUUGGAAGGGUAAUUACUUGACGGUUUACAGCAACACCUGGAAAAUAAAAUGGUUUUGUCAUUUAUUUUGAAAUAUCAAUAACAUAUCAUUCAUUUAGCCACAUUUGGGCUAGCUUUAUCAUAUUUAGAUCGGUAGGAGUUGUCCCAUUACCUAAUAUCCAGUUUUAGCUAUGUGUAGAGCAUUCAUUUAGCCACAUUUGGGCUAGCUUUAUCAUAUUUAGAUAGGUAGGAGCUGUCCCAUUACCUAAUAUCCAGUUUUAGCUAUGUGUAGAGCAUUCAUUUAGCCACAUUUGGGCUAGCUUUAUCAUAUUUAGAUCGGUAGGAGCUGUCCCAUUACCUAAUAUCCAGUUUUAGCUAUGUGUAGAGCAUUCAUUUAGCCACAUUUGGGCUAGCUUUAUCAUAAUUAGAUCGGUAGGAGCUGUCCCAUUACCUAAUAUCCAGUUUUAGCUAUGUGUAGAGCAUGGAAAAAAUAUACAACCAUGUAAUCGCAUUCUGAUAAAAAAAAAUCACGAUGCUGGACUUACCACUCACUCUCCCGUUCGUGAAGUGUCGAGCUUUCAAUUGGCGUCAUGACGCCAUCUGCUGUGUCAAGUAAAUCGCUGUCAUCUGACGCCUCAGGUUCAAACAUGUAGGGAUUAAUUGUAGUUCAUCUUUCCUGGGAGCCUUUGCCAUCGGUAGCGUCACGAAAGAGCGAUCCUGAAUGGUUACCUGUGGUGGAAAUAUCACUGACAUCGUUGUUGCUGCUAUACUAGCUGUGGGUAGUCUUCUGUUGCCUACGUCACACUUCCGGGUUUGCGAAGGGACCAUUAACGGAGUGCAAAAAAACUAAAAAAACGCAAAUUAUCCUUACAAUUACGUGUUGCUAAUGUCAUGGUUGUUUUGAUGAACUUGUACCAAGUUUAUAUUCAUAAAAUUACACCAAAAUCCGGAAAGGUCUUCAGUUGCCCUUUAAGUUGUGGGGAAAAAAACCUAUGAAUAAAGCCGUUUCAACCAUAAAAGCUCUUUGAUGUGUUUUAUUGGUUUCAGUGUUGUAAGUCGUAAUUUGACAAAGUUACAGUCUGGUUAUUGUAAACAAAGCAUUGUUAUAGGUCUGGUUAUUGUAAACAAAGCAUUGUUAUAGGGUCAUUAUCAAUAUAAAGUGCCUUUUGGUGUCCUCAUCAGAAACACUUAGUUGUCAUGAAAAUGUAUACAAAUAAUUAAACUCUUAUGUCUUGUUAUAGGAGAACAAAGAUUUUCACACAUAUCUAGACUAAACAUGUUUCUUAAAAUGUGUUUCCUUUAUUCUAUGUGUAUUUUUUCCUUUUGAUAUAAUCAGUUUUGGCAUGUCGCACAUACUGCACUGCUAACUUCAGUGUAAUAAAUGAACGAUUUAAAAA